rnacentral:rRNA from 1 species
AUGGAUCUCCCAGACCUCAACUACACCCCACCUGCAGAAGAUGAAGAUGAAAUGGACGAAGAUGUAAGAGAUGAGAUGGACGAAGAUGUAGGAGAUGCAAUUGUUCAAGGUGUUGAGCAAGCAGUUCAGAAAAGGGAUAUCCUAGAUGACAAGAAAAGAUAUGCUGCUUAUGUUGCAAUGCAUACAUUGUGCAUGAGUAGAGGGGGAAAGUUUAAGAGAGAUGAAAAGAAAAAUAUUGCUGAUUUCUUUGGAGUGGGUGUCUGGAAUAUACAAAGGAUUUGUAAGAAAGCGAUGGAGCAAAUUGCUGAAGGUCUAGACAUAGAUGUUUCAGGUUAG